GGCCCCUUAGCUCAGGUGGUUAGAGCGGCGGACUCAUAAUCCGUUGGUCCCAGGUUCGAACCCUGGAGGGGCCA
rnacentral:tRNA from 1 species